rnacentral:tRNA from 1 species
GGUAGGAUGGCUUAGUAAGCGGUGGAUUGUAGACCCAUAGACAGAGGUUUAAGCCCCCUUCGUACCA